rnacentral:tRNA from 1 species
GUAAAUUUAGUUUAACGAAAAACAACAGAUUGUGAUUCUGUAAACAGAGGUUCAACCCCUCUAAUUCACC